CCUACGGGUGGCAGCAGUGGGGAAUAUUGCACAAUGGGCUAACGCCUGAUGCAGCAACGCCGCGUGAGCGAUGAAUGCCUUCUGGUCUUAAAACUCUGUCCUCAAGGGAGCUAAUGCCGGUACGUGAAGCGGAAGCCACGGCUAACUACGUGCCAGCAGCCGCGGAAAUACGUAGGGGGCUAGCGUUAUCCGGAAUUACUGGGCGAAAAGGGUGCGUAGGUGGGUUCUUAAGUCAGAGGUGAAAGGCUACGGCUCAACCUCAGUAAGCCGUUGAAACUGGGGAACUUGAGUGCAGGAGAGGAGAGUGGAAUGCCUAGUGUAGCGGUGAAAUGCGUAGAUAUUAGGAGGAACUCCAGUUGCGAAGGCGGCUUUCUGGACUGCAACUGACACUGAGGCACGAAAGCGUGGGGAGCAAACAGGAUUAGAUACCCCGGUAGUC
rnacentral:rRNA from 1 species